GUGUGUGUGAAAGAGAGAGGGCGAGAGAGAUUAUGCAAAUAUGUUUCUCUUUUCUGAGAAUUCAGCUCAUGUGAAUGAAGACCGCAGAAAACGGCCUAACUCAGUGGGAAUGUUGUUUUUAUAAUUACAGGUCUAGGCUUUUCACAUUGACUUUCUCUACUGCCUGCCCUUCUGCUCAAGCAAAUUCUGUCUGAGAAGAUCUGAUGGGAAGGAACUGACUGCUUAGAAUUCUCCAUUGUGAUGAAAGCACAUGGUACAGUUUUCCAAAGAAAUUAGUCCGUUUUCUGGGUGAAGAGAGACCAGACUGCUGUUUUCACAGGAUACUUCUCCCUUCUCUGUGAAAGGAAGAAAGAGCACACCUGGGCCCAGGAGCACUCCAGCUUCUUGUGGGAAGUCUCCAUGGUGAAGUGCAAGCCGGGGCUACCUGUGAACCGCGCACAGUG